ACAAAAAAUCAAGAGAAGUCUAAAAAAUAUUUUGAGUGGCCAGGUAUGGAGCUCUUGCCUGUAAUGACAACUUAGAAGGUGAAGAUCAAGAGCCCAAGGCCGGCCUCAGCAAAGCAGCAAUUCAAGCUGGCUGGGCUGUAUGAGAUCACUAUUAAAUAACAGUGGUGGUAAAGGAGGAAAAUACUUUAUAACAUAGUGUCCAUCCAACACUCAGAAAGAAGGGUGAUCCUGAUGGUUGGUAGACUGGCAUAAAGAAGAAGCAUAUUGAAAGAAUCAAAAACACUUGGAGAAGGUUUCAGUUUUGGGGUUUUCUGUUUUAGCUGAGCAUGGUGGCUCACAUCUACAAUCCCAGAACCUGGGGGCCAAUGAGGAUGGAUUGCUAGGAGUUCAUGGCCAAUCUGGAGUACGUAGUGAGUAACAGAGCAGCCAGAGCUACAUAUAAAGACCUCACGUCAAAAUAAACAACAAGGGAGGGGAGGCUUCCACUUAAAUACAAGUCAACAAGUAGAAUUAUACUAUAAAUAGAAAUCACAGUCCACUGAUAAUACAAAUAGUAGAAAUUAUAACAAAGCACUUACCAUUGAAAGGAUUGAUUCCUGCACUAAUCCUUAAAAUAAUAGCUUCUUUCACUUCCUUUUUCUUUACACACCGAAUACCCAAAUUUUGAAAACUAAAAGCAAAAAAUGAAACUUUCAAAAUCACAUCAUAGUUAAACAAAAGUAUGACAAAAAUCAAACAUACUCAGAAAGUCAGCUCUCUGCCACACCAACCUCUAGGUCACAGAUCCUGUUUCUGACUGUGAUAAUAAAGAAGAUACAAGAGAAACAAACAUAGGCCUGCCUAAGAGAAUUGUUAAUAGAAAAAUAGAGCACAUGGUGACAUGCCUUUAAUUCUAGCACUAGGAGAUGGAGGCAAGUGGUACCUUGGUUACCUAGCAACUUUUAGGCUACCCUGGAUUAUGGGAAAACCUGUCCCAAACUAAAAAAGUAUAUAGAGUAUUAUAUAACUGUCAAAUAUACUAUUUUAUAAUUACAUUUUGCCAAUAGGCUUAGUCAAAUAUACCAAGGUAGAUAAACAUUACAAGUAAAACAAACAAAACCAUCAAGAAGCAAAGUUUCACCUUCCAAACAAACUCAUGAUCAAUUUACUAAAAUUGGUGUAUCAAAAGGUACAAAGACAGCUGGACCCUGAAAUAUGCAGGUAUGUUUUGCUAAACUUAUAGCAGUGUUAACCUAUGUAUUUUUAAAAAAUGUAUAGAAGUGGCUAGUGCAUUUUAAAAAUUAUAUAUAUACAUUACCAAACUUAAGAGUGAGGUGAUCAGAGCUGAGCAUCAGCUCUUCUGGUUUCAUGAACAUUUCAGAGGUUUGCUAGCACUCCUUGGGCACAGAGACAAUCUGUUAGAGCUGAGCACCUGUAACCCCACUUACACACAGUUAUCCACUCUGAUGAGGAACCGGGCUAGCCUUCUUAUAUUUGAUUCCCUCUGCUCAGUUAUGAUGCCUGCCUAGCUCAUCACUAAAAAAUGUACCAUGAAAUAUAUGAAAACACAGCUGUACAAGGUCUUGCUGUGUACUUUAGCCUGGCCUCAAUUUUUUUCAUUGACAACAGAAUACACUUUAUGCCAUGUUAUAUGAUUACAAUAUAGGAAAUGAAGUAUUUUUAUUAGAGAGGGUUAAUACUAACAAUAUUUAGCAACAGUUUCAAAGGGUCAUUUAUGGAAAACUUCUCAAUAGCUACAAAUAUUACUCAUUUGCAUAUGUGUAAUACAAAUGAUGAUGGGGGAACUCCCCUACCACCAUCCAGUCAUACUUGUUCCCACAUGGAAAAACCAUGACAUCAUCUGAGAUGGGUGGGUGUGAAUAAGGAAGCAAAACUCAAAUGAUAAGAACAUCACUGUUUCUUCAAACUUCACUUGGCACUUGCAGCCAGAGGCUGCCUGGUUUGCCUUACUCCAUGUUCCUAUUACUGUAUGUUCAUGCUUCAUGCUUGGCACUCACACCUGUGACUUCAUUAGCACCUAAAAUAACUUUGCCACUUCCUUCCUCCUCCUCCUCC
rnacentral:lncRNA from 1 species